GAGGGUGUGGUUUAGUGGUUAUAAUAUUCGUAUGUGUCUCCCCAUCACUUCGACUCUCAACGGCUUACCGAUGUUAAAAGCGAAGUGUACAGUGGUGCUUAUAUCGGAAGACCCGAGGUUCGAUUCCCGGCGCCCUCC